GACGAACGCUGGCGGCGUGCUUAACACAUGCAAGUCGAACGGAAAGGCCUUUUCGGAGGUACUCGAGUGGCGAACGGGUGAGUAACACGUGGGUGAUCUGCCCUGCACUCUGGGAUAAGCCUGGGAAACUGGGUCUAAUACCGGAUAGGACCGCACUUUAGUGUGUGUGGUGGAAAGUUUUUUCGGUGUAGGAUGAGCCCGCGGCCUAUCAGCUUGUUGGUGGGGUAAUGGCCUACCAAGGCGGCGACGGGUAGCCGGACUGGGAGGUUGGUCGGCCACAUUGGGACUGGGAUACGGCCCAGACUCCUACGGGAGGCAGCAGUGGGGAAUAUGGAACAAUGGGCGCAAGCCUGAUGCAGCGACGCCGCGGGGGGGAGGACGGCCUUCGGGUUGUAAACUCCUUUCGCCAGGGACGAAGCGUUUUGUGACGGUACCUGGAGAAGAAGCACCGGCUAACUACGUG
rnacentral:rRNA from 1 species